CUGAACCAGCCAAGUAGCGUGAAGGAUGACUGCCCUAUGGGUUGUAAACUUCUUUUAUAAGGGAAUAAAGUCGGGCAUGCGUACCCUUUUGCAUGUACUUUAUGAAUAAGGAUCGGCUAACUCCGUGCCAGCAGCCGCGGUAAUACGGAGGAUCCGAGCGUUAUCCGGAUUUAUUGGGUUUAAAGGGAGCGUAGAUGGAUGAUUAAGUCAGUUGUGAAAGUUUGCGG
rnacentral:rRNA from 1 species